rnacentral:rRNA from 1 species
GAUGAACGCUGGCGGCGUGCCUAAUACAUGCAAGUCGAGCGAACGGACGAGAAGCUUGCUUCUCUGAUGUUAGCGGCGGACGGGUGAGUAACACGUGGAUAACCUACCUAUAAGACUGGUAUAACUUCGGGAAACCGGAGCUAAUACCGUAUGAUAUUUUGAACCGCAUGGUUCAAUAGUGAAAGACGGUCUUGCUGUCACUUAUAGAUGGAUCCGCGCUGCAUUAGCUAGUUGGUAAGGUAACGGCUUACCAAGGCAACGAUGCGUAGCCGACCUGAGAGGGUGAUCGGCCACACUGGAACUGAGACACGGUCCAGACUCCUACGGGAGGCAGCAGUAGGGAAUCUUCCGCAAAGGGCGAAAGCCUGACGGAGCAACGCCGCGUGAGUGAUGAAGGUCUUCGGAUCGUAAAACUCUGUUAUUAGGGAAGAACAUAUGUGUAAGUAACUGUGCACAUCUUGACGGUACCUAAUCAGAAAGCCACGGCUAACUACGUG